rnacentral:rRNA from 1 species
CAAGCUUCAAACUUAAAAGACCUGGCGGUACUCUAAACAAACCUAGAGGGGCCUGUCUAGUAAUCGAUAAUCCACGAAAAACCCAACCUCUUCUGGCCAAAUCAGCCUGUAUACCGCCGUCGAAAGCUCAUUUUUCAAGAAAUAGAAGCCAAAAAGCACAGUUAACUAACACGUCAGGUCAAGGUGUAGCACAUGAAGAGGAUAAGAUUGGCCACAGUACA